CAAUUUAAAUCUUAUAAACAGAUUAUGACAGAUUUAUGAUAAUUAUUUUUUUAUUUUUUACAGAUAUAGAGUGGAAAGAAAUGGAGCAUCAAAAUGCCAAGAGACAAGAGGUACUAGUUGUGCAAUAUUUCAAACCAUUUCAUUUUAAUUUUUCAAAAUUAUUUCGAUUUAUUAAAUACAAAUAGUAAAUAUUCAAGUGUUUAAUAAAAUGACACAGUGAUUUUUAAAAAAGUAUGUAGUGCUAUUGUCGUGAAUCUGUUGAAAAAUAAAUGAAUUAAUUUAUUGAGACUAGUUGGAUUAAAUGUACAUGGCCUUGCUGAGUAUUUCACCUGGAGCAACACAUGCCAAUAAAUAGGAAGAUCAAGUGAUGAGUUGACACGUGCUAUAUGUGUCACCAACUAUACAGAUGAUUAAUAGCUAUCCAACCUACAAUCACUAAUUGAUCCUUAAUGUCUGCUACAGAGAUCUGCAUCAGCAAAGUCAACGAGGACACACUUAGUGAUACUUGAGGCACACGUCUGCUUCAACCGAGCAAAUUGGCAGUGGUGUAUAGGGGCUAAAGAGAGAAGAGAGUAAAUGUACAAAAUGACUGAAACAAAGUUUCGUUUUGCCCGGGAUAUAGAGGCCAUGGUACCAGCAGACUGGAUGAGACUCACUAAAAACGACCAAAUGAA